GUGACAAGAGGGCGGGCGCCAGGCUUCCCCCCCCCCUCACGUGACGGGGCGCGGCGCUCGCGGCAGCGGCUUCUCCCUCCGCCAACCCCCCCCCCUCCCCGCCGCCGCCGCCGCCGCCAUGGACCCGGCCGGGAAGGAGAAGGAGGCGCUGCAGCUCCUGGCCGAGGCCGACAGGAAGGUCCGCGGCUCCCAGUCCUUCUUCGCGGGGCUCUUCGGGGGCUCCUCCAAGAUAGAAGAAGCAUGCGAUAUCUACGCCCGAGCAGCAAACAUGUUCAAAAUGGUCAAGAACUGGAGCGCUGCAGGGAACGCCUUCUGCCAGGCAGCACAGCUCCAUCUGCAGCUGCAGAGCAAGCAUGAUGCGGCCACCAACUUCGUGGAUGCUGGCAAUGCCUUCAAGAAAGCUGACCCACAAGAGGCCAUUAACUGUUUGAUCAGAGCUAUUGAGAUCUACACAGACAUGGGCCGAUUCACCAUCGCUGCCAAGCAUCACAUAUCGAUAGCGGAGAUCUAUGAGACGGAGCUGGUGGAUAUAGAAAAGGCGAUAGCCCAUUAUGAGCAAGCUGCUGAUUACUACAAAGGGGAAGAGUCCAACAGCUCUGCCAACAAAUGUUUACUGAAAGUGGCCACUUAUGCAGCCCAGCUGGAGCAGUACCAGAAAGCCAUUGAGAUCUACGAGCAGGUGGGCACUAAUGCGAUGGACAGUCCCCUGCUGAAGUACAGCGCUAAGGAGUAUUUCUUCAAGGCGGCCCUCUGCCACUUCUGCAUUGACAUGCUCAACGCAAAGCUGGCCAUACAGAAAUACGAAGAGAUGUUCCCAGCCUUCUCGGACUCCAGGGAGUGCAAACUGGUUAAAAAGUUGCUGGAAGCUCAUGAAGAACAGAACAUUGACAGCUACACUGACUCUGUAAGUGCAGUGGGGAGGGAAGCAUCUAAUGCAGCUCAGCACCGGAGAGAGACUGGUGUGAAGUGUCUGCUUGGGAAGCAAAUGUAGCAAUUGCAAAUGUGGGUGCGAGGAGUUCUUGUCAGAAUCAAGAAGGCUCAGCGUGCCUUGUGUGAUCGCUGUGCUAGCCAGUCCCAGGGUUGGUAGUGGAUUGCUCACUACAGUGUGUUCUCAAAGACUUAGUCCCAUCUUGCUGUAAAUUACCAGGCAGUAGGGCUCCUGUCCCUUCCUUGGUACAGACUAAUGGAUUGGGCAGUUAUUCUGCCUAACUUCUCUGUAGGGCUGUUACUAAUUUGCUCUUUCCCCUCCACCCACCUGGGGAGCCAUGACUUCUUUGUCCAGGCUCCUGUUAUGAGCUGCAAACUGUGCUGACACAUAUUGGCUUCAUCAGGAGUCUUACGAGCGUGGCACUUCUGCAGAUCAGCCCACAACAAGCUACAUGUGGGUUUACUUUUGGGGGUGGGGGGAUGAGGAGGGGAAAUUUUAAAUUUUCAGAACACCAGUUGGGUUAAAAACAUGGCACCUAGAAACAUUAAGGACUAAGGAGAACAUAGGGAAGAGAAGCUGGGUUUUACCAUGAGUGGAUUUUUCUUGUAGAAAUCCCAGGCUCCAAAGUGUAUUGAGUGCAAUGGUCUGUUUCCUGCUCCGUAGUGCUAACUAGCCUCCAGGUGAAUACUGCUGUGUGGUAGGUCACUCAUUCUGAUUCUCUCCCUGACCUUCCAGGUAAAGGAGUACGAUACCAUCUCACGGCUGGACCAGUGGCUUACCACCAUGCUCCUCCGUAUCAAGAAAACCAUCCAGGGCGAAGAGGAGGACCUACGUUAAACCCCGUCCCCUCCUUCCCUGUCACCAUCAACUCUUUCCUCCGCAGAAAUCUGCAUGGAUAUCUUUGGGGUGGGGAGGGUGGGGCCUGGAGGAGAAGGAUUCAGACUUCAGUGACUUAUUAUCCCUUGUCUCAUAACCCUUUUGCCCCACAACCCAAAGAGCAUAACUUCGUUUAACAAAGACAGGGCAUGCGGCUGUAACCACCUGCCUCAGCUGCUCUAGAGAUGACGUCUUGAAGUGACAUAGCUCGUUCCCCCUGGGCCAAACAGAUGACUUCCUGGUCCGCGGAGCUUCCCAACCUGCCUGCAGGCUCCUGCCCAGGUUUGAUGGUCUAACACCCUUCCCCAUCCCUCUUGUUCCCUCUUCAGAUAUUUAAUUGUAUGACAAUUAUUCUGUAUGAUUAAGAACUUAAACCUGCUUUCGCCCUGACUCACUUCACGCUGGUUUCAGAAGACAGCACAAAAUCAGUUUGUCUCCUAAUUCCUGCUGUUUAUAACAGAUCCUUUCUCACUGCCCCCUCUCCUGCCCCAGAUGUCUGAUGGAGCAGUUCUUGCCCAUCCCAGGCAGGGAUUUCAGACUCAGUACCAACGGGAGUGGGGAUGGGGAGAGUCUCUCCCUCACCCUUAACUUCUUCCCCUCCCUAGCCUGUGAUCGCAUCCCUGUAGGGGCUCAGAAACCUGAGUUUUGAGUAUCUCCAGCAAGCCCAGAACCCUGCUUUAGGCUGGGAGAUUUCAGGUGCAGCGACUUUCCCCCAUGGCCUGAGCUGUGAGAACAGGUUCUGCUACUCUCCACCCUCUCCUAGCCCCCAGAGAGCUGGAGAAUGUGGCAAGCACAAGCUGGCACUUCCUAUCUCCUGCUUAUUUCAGUGAAGAACUGUACAACCCUUGUCUAACAUCUUGGCAGCAAAUACUUCCCAGGGCACCCUCUCAAUCCCCAGAGCUCUACAAGGAGCUGACAGGAAGUGUCACUUCGCUCUGUAUCACAAUUAUCUCCUUUCCCGUUUCUCAUUGUUAGCACAUGCUAACUUGAUAACCCCAUUUCUUCCCCCUGCCCACAGGGCUGUAGUGCUGCUCUAUGGCCAGCUGUUAAGGGGCAUCAGACACUGUGUCAUUCACGUGCAGCCAAAAGAGGCGAGAGCUGGACUGGACAGUCAUUCCCACACCACGUGGGUAGCCAAAAAUAUUCUGUGCUUCUGGUAUAUUAGUAACCUUAGCAAACCCUUCUGAGGUGACUGUUUGUUUAAUUUAAUCCCAUCUCAGAUUAGGCAGUGGAAGACUCUACAGCGUGGGUGAAUUCUGUGCGCAGCAGGCCAUUUGCUGCAGUAGGCAUGGCACCUGGUUGGAAGGGAACAUUACUCCCAUUCAGUAUUGUGUGCGUACAGUAUGUGUUGCCAUAAAGGUUUUUAUUUCUGGGUUAUUCUCUCUUGGUUUUGAAAUCUAGCCCAAGAGGGGUGGGGCCUGGGUAGCUCAGGGUUUACCCUGCAGUAAUCCCUACUUCUGUAUUGUUUGUUGAAAGAAAGAGGAAGUCUUGCUGCAUGUUUUAAUGUCAACAGAAAGCGACUCUUGCUGAGUGUAAUGAAAAAUUGCACAACAAAAAUAAAAACUUUGCAUGAGCA